UUUCUUCUCUUUCACCUUGUACGUUUUCUCCUUCUCUUUUUUAAUUUUCUAAGAUUUUUUCUUUUCUUUGCAAUUUCCAUUUGAGGAAGAGAGGUGUAGAUGUAAAAUUCUAGAAGUUUUCUCAGAGGCUUCGACACCUUGUGCAUCUCUCUCUCUCUCUCGUGCGCUUGCUCUCGAUAUUUCUUUCCAAACGCUUGGAUUAGAAGAAAGUAGACUGGAUUUGGUUAAAAAUCAGUUGUAUUGGUUCUUUCUGUGUCCCAAGGCUUAAAGUCGAAGCUGCUCUCUUUUGUACAGGAGGAGAAGAAACGGAUUGCAAUUUUUUUUUUGGUCCAGUAAUUUGCUUGUAGAUAAUCUUCCAUUUCAGUGUUUAAGGGAAGCUUGGUGAUCAAACUAUAGAGGUUUUCUCUGGCUUUGCUUAGGGAUGGAAUUUGAGGAGAUUUUUAGUUUAUGAAGAUCGAGAACCCCUGGGAUCAUACAUCUAUCAAAGCGCAACUGCUGAGUAAUUAGGAAUCGCGUUAAUGGGUUGACUGGAGACAUCUGGGUUUUAGCAUUUUUGUGCUGGGUUGCUUGUAUUCAUGAUUCAGAGAGUGGGAGAAGAGCAAGAAUAGAAUAGAUUGGGUCCAUGUGAUGGAUAAUAUGACCUUCAGAGAUAAAGACCUUGCUGUUGAUCUAGAAAGUGGUGGUACUACCAGCGAGGAAGAAGGAAGUAAAGAACCUGUUUCAAGCACCGGACAAACAAAGAAUUUGUUGGGUAAGGUUUGGAAUGGGUUUGUCAAUUUUGAUGGUUCGGUUAAAGGUGAAGAUGGCAUUAGUUCGUGGCAAGCAUCAAAUUCUGGGGAGUUUUCUAUUGAUAAUCUGGAGUUGGUGACAGACAAGAAGUCCGGAGGAGAAGAAGCUGUUGAACUUUUAGAGAAGAAAGUGAUGAAGGAAAAACGCAAAAAAACAAGCUCUAAAAAGCCUCCUAAGCCACCACGACCACCCAGAGGUCCAUCUUUGGAUGCUGCUGAUUUGAAAUUGGUUAAAGAGAUCUCUGAGCUUGCUAUGUUGAAAAGGGCGAGAGUUGAACGGAUGAAGGCUUUGAAGAGGAUGAAAGCAGCUAAAGCUUCAUCAUCAAAUAGCAAUUUGUAUGCCAUGAUUAUUACUAUUCUCUUCUGCCUUGUAAUUCUUUUUCAAGUUUAAUUAACCAUUGCUGCUGCUAGAAUGGUGUCACUGUUGCUACAUUUCAACCGGUGUACAUGUUCAUCAGUAUUGUUAUGUUGACUUGAACUCUCUGACUAUGUUAUAAUGAACAAGUUUCACCUGCCAGAUGGUUAUUCUUUGUCUAUAUUGGGUCCUAGCGCAUAAAUUCCUAGAUACUUGGAUGCUAUCAGUUUCCUUUAUGGGAUGCUUGAUUCACUGGAAGCAAGAAAUUCAUGUUUUCUGUGUCAGAAGAUCGACUAUUAAUAGGGAUAUGUUCUAGGAGUAGUUCAAGUGUGAGCUUCAACGGAUCUCCUGAAUCAUCUGUAGGAUUGAUUUCAGUUCAGUAUUACAAGAAUAUUUCGGCAAGCGGUGCUAACGGAUCUGUUUCUGCGUCGCCUAUUCUAGUAGAACAGGUAUCUGGGUUGAGCUCCGAGGAAGGAGUGAGCAGGGUUGCGGGGUGAAACGGUUUGUCAUAUUAAAUGCCCUCCCUUCACAUGAGCAGAUGUCUGAGAGGACUGAGGUGGGUUUGGCCAGUUUCGGGAUCCUUAUAGAUCGAUGUCUCUUGAUAGACUGCUCAUUUUGGUGAUUUCGGUCUGUAAAUACGUGUUGAGAAAGUCGUCUUCUCAUUUUUUGCACGCAAAACCUUUUACUAAAUAAGCUGUCAAAAGUCUAAACAAAAUGUUAAGCCCUUGCCCUAAUUUUCAGUAUUUCGUAUUCCAGUGACCUUGAAAACCGAUAUGUAUGAUGCAUCUAUCAUACGAUAUGUAUUGCUUCAAAGUAUCAAUACUUGUCGUAUCAUAAGAUAUCUCAUAUGUAUUGGUUUCUUAUGUUGCGAAACUCUGAAUUAGGGACAGGUGGCAAUUUUAUAUAACAAUAAUAGGUCAAUAUUAUAGGGAGCUUAAAUUGCUUAAUGGGCAAUCACGAAGGUUGUGUUAAAUAUUGGUUGACACCAAAGGCUUUGAUUCAUCGAUGCAAUAUUUGAUACCAUUGAUGUUGCUUCAUGAAAUUUCAAAUUUAGUGUUUUUAUUAUAAAUGUCAUCAUCUAAUCAAAUACGUAUUUUCUGUGGAA